rnacentral:rRNA from 1 species
UGGGGAAUUUUGGACAAUGGGCGCAAGCCUGAUCCAGCCAUGCCGCGUGAGUGAAGAAGGCCUUCGGGUUGUAAAGCUCUUUCGGCGGGGAAGAAAUUGCACUCUCUAAUACAGGGUGUAGAUGACGGUAUCCGCAUAAGAAGCACCGGCUAACUACGUGCCAGCAGCCGCGGUAAUACGUAGGGUGCGAGCGUUAAUCGGAAUUACUGGGCGUAAAGCGUGCGCAGGCGGUUGUGUAAGUCAGAUGUGAAAUCCCCGGGCUCAACCUGGGAACUGCAUUUGAGACUGCACGGCUAGAGUGUGACAGAGGGGGUAGAAUUCCACGUGUAGCAGUGAAAUGCGUAGAGAUGUGGAGGAUACCGAUGGCGAAGGCAGCCCCUGGGUUACACUGACGCUCAUG